rnacentral:lncRNA from 1 species
UUUUCACUUGUGUUUCAAGACUGCAGCCGUUUCAUCGCCAGCUGUGAGGAUGAAGCAGCUUCAUAGCCGGACAUCAGACGCCUUCCAGGAGUUCCCCUUUUCAGCAACAGAGGCCUAGGAUGCCAUUCUACCUGUGCUGCAUUGUGUGGCUGACCACUCCAAGGAUCUCAGCAGAAUCAUUACACAGGAAGAAGUCCUGCAGACCCCAAGCAUGGUGCGAAAUGAA